rnacentral:rRNA from 1 species
GGGGAAUUUUCCGCAAUGGGCGAAAGCCUGACGGAGCAAUACCGCGUGAGGGAAGACUGCCUAUGGGUUGUAAACCUCUUUUUUCAGGGAGGAAUUCAAUGACGUGUACCUGAAGAAUAAGCAUCGGCUAACUCCGUGCCAGCAGCCGCGGUAAGACGGAGGAUGCAAGCGUUAUCCGGAAUUAUUGGGCGUAAAGCGUCCGUAGGUGGUUAUAAAAGUCUGUUGUUAAAGCCCACAGCUCAACUGUGGAUCGGCAAUGGAAACUGUAUGACUUGAGUGUGGUAGGGGUAGAGGGAAUUCCUAGUGUAGCGGUGAAAUGCGUAGAUAUUAGGAAGAACACCAGUGGCGAAGGCGCUCUACUGGGCCAUAACUGACACUGAUGGACGAAAGCUAGGGGAGCGAAAGGGAUUAGAUACCCCUGUAGUC